AAACAAUGUAUAUUGGGGGCUCCGGUGUACCAGAUAGCAAAGACACAGAGAUGACUAAAACACAAGUUUCACCUUUAAAGAAGACACAAUCCACUGGAAAAAAACACAACAAAAAAGUAACUGUAAUAAAGAGGGAAAUGCUGUUGGGAGGUCACAAUCACUAAGCAUCGAAGCCAGAGAAUGAAAGACUUCAGACAGAGCUUAAGUUUGGCAUGGUAUCCAGUGAAGACGUGAAAGUGCUAGUCACUCAGCUGCCUCUAACUCUGCGACCCCAUGGACUACAGCCCACCAGGCUCCUCUAUCCGUGGAAUUCUCCAGCAGAUCCCAGACAUCAUGUAAUGUCAUCCACAUUACAUCAGUACAAAUUUCUAAAAGGUGUAUGAAGUAGGACAUUUCCAUCUCCCAGUACCCAUUACUCCCCUUCUCAAUCAAGAAAACAGCCCUUCUCACACCUUAUACUGAAGUCUGUCAUUACCUCAGAGCUUUCAGCACAUUCAGAAAAACAUUUAAUCCAAUGGCACAGCCUCCUUCCUCCACAGGAUGGUCUUCAGUGGCAGCUGUAUAAUCCCUAUAGAAGGACUUCAGGAACUGCAGUCUAAUGAGGGAAGGGGACAGUGGCGAUUAUAUGAUAAAGCUGAAUAUGCAUGUGUCCUACCAAAAGAAGAGGACCGGAGAAUCUCAAACCAAGGCUCCUCCACAAAAGGGAACUCAGAGAAGGUGGGACAAAGACAGCCAGGGUGAGCUGCUGACCAAAGCAUGUCACAGACGCACAUUCUCUCCUGGUAACUGCUCUGCAGUGGCGCUGUAAGCACUGCAGUGCUGCCAAUAUUAAGUCUGAGCUCAUGAAUGCCGUGCUGCAAAAGUCACCAGCAACUGAACAGGAAGAGAGUUCCCAUUCUCUACUUGGUUUAUUCAUCCCAGGGUCCUGAUCUAGGAGGCUGGAGAGUUAACAGAAUUUGGGAAAGGGCCAGGUUUACCACUUACAGUUGGGCGGAGCACGGUGCUUGAUCAAUAAAUAAAGUUUACUUUAGCCUCUUAGUCUGUGCAAUAGGUAGUAUGUGUAAGAGAAAGUGACCAUAAAUAUUUCUCUGAUGUUCAGAAAACACCUACUACACAACCUCUUUCAACCAACACAAAUAUCUGAAUUACCUGAGUCUGAUGGUUACAUAUGGUUAUAGGAAAAACCCAGACCAUUCAGGGGCUGAGAGGGAGCAGAGAGAAAAAAAAAUCACAUACCUCUAAAAGACAAAACAAACAGACAAACAAAAAGAUACAUUCUGAAAACAGAAGAGGAAAAAAAAAAUAGGUGAAAAUAGGUGACUCUCUUUGGUUCCAAGUUACCUGACUGCAGAAGUAAGAUAAAUGCUGCAGUGCCCGGGAGAAAAAUCUAUCUACCUGAGUAACUGAACAGCAGCUUCUGUAACUGCCAAUACCCAGGCACCUUCCUCACCAUUAUAUAACCAAACCCUGGCCUUAAUAGACCAUCAUACUGUAUGUCAACAGUUGUUAGACACAUCUUGGCGGCAAGCAUUUGAGAAACCUUUCCAAAGUGGAUUCAGAUAAGCAAGAAGCAGGCCAAAAUAUGUUCAUCAUUUACCCAGAGCACAUGACAACUCCCUGUGAAUUAAGCUUCACGCAUGUCGUCAGAGUAAUUUAAGCAGCGAAAGAGAGGGUGCCUGUAACUAGGAAAUUGCACACUGCUACAGAAACACAAAUGAGUGCUGGUGUGGUCCCCUCACACAUGCAACUCAUUGUCCAAGCCAUUUCAGCCUCAUUCAAGACUUUGAAUAUUUCCAUACAUAGGAAUUGCAUAACUGCCGACCACAAAUGAUCAAAGAUAAAAACCAACAUAAACAGUGACACCCGUUUAUAAACAAGCUGAUGUUUAAAAUGCUGCAGUCCUAAAGGAUACCAACAACUUAGAGAAAAACUUAGACACAUACACACACUGGAAAAUUAGAAAGCGGGCAGACCAGCCAUAAUUAGCCACUGGCUUUGCUGACUACUGAAGAUAGAAAUGUCUCUAUUAUGUAUAAAGCCAAGAAUCAACUGUUUGCAAUUACAUUUACAAAAACAUUGAACCCUCUGUCCCAGAUUUUUUUAAUCAUUAUUUUGGUGUAUCCAAGGGCUGGGCGAUACAGAAUUCUUUAAAUCAUAGAUACCAUAAACCAGGCAGCCAAUUAAGUUCACAGAGUCCAUCCCCCAGAGGUCAGAGCAAAAUAAUCACAGAAGCCCAAGUGAUUACUUAGGUGGGAAGGGGAGGGUGUGGAAAAGGAAAUACCAAAACAAGGAACAAGGCUGGAACAAUUAGAGUUGUUUGUAAACAUAAAUUUGUCUUGGCUAACUGUAAACACAAUAGGAAACACUCAGAGGGGCAGGGAUGCACCAGAGUCUUGGUUCAGUUUACUCCCUGUCAGGGUCUGAGGGUAGCAUCAGGAAACCUUGGGCUCUGGUAUCUCAUUCAGCUCAGACCUGCAGACUUGAGGCCCUCUGA